GAGCGGCUGCUGGAGGAAUGUAAGUGUUUUGUGGAGCUGGUGGUGGUGGAGGAGGAGCAAUUGGGUGCGAGUGCACGGCUUCAUGAACUGGAGCUACUGGAGCUGGUGGCGCUGGUGGUGCAGGUGGGAUGUAGGUAUUUUUAGGUGCUGGUGGUGGUGGUGGAGGAGCAAUUGGGUGCGAGUGCACGGCCUCAUGAACUGGAGCCACUGGCGCUGGUGGGGCUGGUGGAAUGUAGGUGUUUUUUGGGUGCUGGUGGUGGUGGUGGUGGAGGAGGAGCAAUUGGGUGCGAGUGCACAGCUUCAUGAACUGGUGCUGGGGGCGCUGGUGGUGCUGGUGGAAUGUAAGUAUUCUGCGGCACUAUCGGCUCCGACUUGACCUCUUCAUGGUGGUGGGGCACAGGAUAGUCAUAGCCACUGUGCAGAUGCGAGACAUCGGCGGCGGCGAAAGCCAGCAAGGCGAAGGAAAGGGCAGCGAAGAG